CUUUUCUGUACCGCCCAAGUCGGUAUAGUAUGGGCGGUACAUACCAGUUCGACGGGCAACCAAGAUGUGAACCGCCCUGUAGGUCCUAUGAGUUUCUGUAAAUACUUGCUACAACGAGGCUUCCAUUUGCAAUAAAGUACACUAGGCAUUACUUCAGCUUACAGGACCAGUAUUUGAGUCUUGGACAAUGGAAGAAAAUGCUUUCAAGGGGGUAGAAGGAAGGAAUGGUAAAUGCCAAGGAAUGACUCAUUUGGCGAGCUUCUAAUUCUUCAUCGCAUAGCGUCGCUGCCCCAGUUCUUGUUCAGUAUCCAAGAAGAUGCAGAGGGUGGAUACCUUUAGCCCAUCUUCGAAACUUGUGCAUAUUAUCAUCUCGUCUCGACAAUACUCAUAUUUGAUGAGCUCUGGCACAGAUCAAGAAUUUGCAGUUACAGAUUUCUCAUCUUAGCAUGACUCAGGCCAGACUCAUAGUGCAGGUAUUGUUUUAUGACCCUUGUAAUUACUACAGCAAAUCCUCACUAUGUUAAAGAGAAGUCUAUACUCCUUUUCAGGCUGAUGUUGCUACUGAAACAUUCUUUGUAGUGAGAAAUUGAUGAUGAUAAUGAAAUUGGAUUUCACACUCA